GGUGGAAUGCGUAGAUAUCAAGAGGAACGCCGGAGCUGAAGACGGUGCACUGGGCCUGUUCUGACGCUGAGCUGCGAAAGCGUGGGGAGCAAACGGGAUUAGAUACCCCGGUAGUCCACGCCGUACACGAUGCCUACUAGCUUGUGGGAGUUCAGACGCUCUCACAGCCGCAGCAAAAGUGUUAAGUAGACCGCCUGGGGAGUACGACCGCAAGGUUAAGACUCAAAGGAAUUGACGGGGGCUCACACAAGCGCUGGAGCAUGUGGAUUAAUUCGAAGCAACGCGCAGAACAUUACCUGGGUUUGACAUGCUUGGAUGCAUGCCUGGAAACAGGUUAGACUGCCCUUCGGCGUGAAACUUGCACAGGUGCUGCAUGGCUGUCGUCAGCUCGUGUCGUGAGAUGUCGGGUUAAGUCCUUUAACGAGCGAAACCCUUGCCGUUAGUUGCCAGCGGGUCAUGCCGGGGACUCUAACGGGACUGCCGGUGUUAAACCGGAGGAAGGUGGGGAUGACGUCAAGUCCUCAUGGCCUUUAUGCCCAGGGCUUCACACGUGCUACAAUGGCAGGUACAGAGGGAUGCGAGACCGCAAGGUGGAGCGAAGCCCAAAAAACGUGCCUCAGUUCGGAUUCCAGGCUGUCAAUUCGCCUGCAUGAAGUUGGAAUCGCUAGUAAUCGCGUAUCAGCUAUGACGCGGUGAAUGUGUUCCUGAGCAUUGUACACACCGCCCGUCAAGUGAUGGAAGCCGGGAGUACCCGAAGUCGG
rnacentral:rRNA from 1 species